GCGGGUGUAGUUCAAUGGUAGAACGAGUGCUUCCCAAGCAUUAGACGUGGGUCCGAUUCCCAUCACCCGCU
rnacentral:tRNA from 1 species